AUCCUGGCUCAGAUUGAACGCUGGGCGGCCAGGCCUAACACAUGCAAGUCGAAAGAGUAACAAGAAAGCAGCUUGCUGCUUUGCUGACGAGUGGCGGACGGGUGAGUAAUGUCUGGGACACUGCCUGAUGGAGGGGGAUAACUACUGGAAACGGGUGGCUAAUACCGCAUAACGUCGCAAGACCAAAGAGGGGGACCUUCGGGCCUCUUGCCAUCAGAUGUGCCCAGAUGGGAUUAGCUUGUUGGUGAGGUAACGGCUCACCAAGGCGACGAUCCCUAGCUGGUCUGAGACGCAUGACCAGCCACACUGGAACUGAGACACGGUCCAGACUCCUACGGGAGGCAGCAGUGGGGAAUAUUGCACAAUGGCGCAAGCCUGAUGCAGCCAUGCCGCGUGUAUGAAGAAGGCUCGGGUUGUAAAGUACUUCAGCGGGAGAAGGUGUUGUGGUUAAUAACCGCAGCA
rnacentral:rRNA from 1 species